GAUGAACGCUAGCGGCGGGCUUAAUACAUGCAAGUCGAGGGGCAGCACGAUGUAGCAAUACAUUGGUGGCGACCGGCGGACGGGUGCGUAACACGUAUGCAACUUGCCCUAUACUGGAGGAUAGCCCGAAGAAAUUCGGAUUAAUACCCCAUAACAUCAGAACAAGCAUUUGUUUUGGUUCAAAACUCCGGUGGUAUAGGAUGGGCAUGCGGUCGAUUAGCUUGUUGGUGAGGUAACGGCUCACCAAGGCGACGAUCGAUAGGGGGCCUGAGAGGGUGAUCCCCCACACUGGUACUGAGACACGGACCAGACUCCUACGGGAGGCAGCAGUAAGGAAUAUUGGUCAAUGGGCGAAAGCCUGAACCAGCCACGCCGCGUGAAGGAAGACGGCCCUAUGGGUUGUAAACUUCUUUUGUACGAGAAUAAACCUCAGGACGUGUCCUGAGCUGAAGGUACCGUACGAAUAAGGAUCGGCUAACUCCGUGCCAGCAGCCGCGGUAAAAC
rnacentral:rRNA from 1 species